UACAGAGGGUGCGAACGUUGCUCGGAAUUACUGGGCGUAAAGCGCGUGUAGGCGGAGCCGCAAGUCAGAUGUGAAAUCCCCGGGCUCAACCCGGGAACUGCAUCUGAAACUGCGGUUCUCGAGUGUCGGAGAGGGCGGCGGAAUUCCUGGUGUAGAGGUGAAAUUCGUAGAUAUCAGGAGGAACACCGGUGGCGAAGGCGGCCGCCUGGACGACUACUGACGCUGAGACGCGAAAGCGUGGGGAGCAAACAGG
rnacentral:rRNA from 1 species